UUGACAGCACGGAGAUCCUGAACCAUGCGAUAUUGGUCCGGUUGGCGUUUUUCAGUUUUCUUCUUUACAGGAAACAGGGGAGUAUUGCACUGUGAAACACAUUUGAUUAAGGCUCCUUUUGCAACUAGACUUUCAACCUGCUUGGAGAUGGCAAGAGCUUGUGCGUGUUUCAAAGGGUAAUGUGGUCGCCUUGGCGGGGUAGCUCCUUCGAUGAGUGUGACUACCACAGGUGGGACUCGGAGAUGGCCAAUAUCAUCAGG